CUCGUAGGCGGCCAACUAAGUCAGACGUGAAAUCCCUCAGCUUAACUGGGGAACUGCGUCUGAUACUGGAUGGCUUGGAUUCGGGAGAGGAAUGCGGAAUUCCAGGUGUAGCGGUGAAAUGCGUAGAUAUCUGGAGGAACACCGGUGGCGAAGGCGGCAUUCUGGACCGACAUUGACGCUGAGGAGCGAAAGCCAGGGGAGCAAAACGG
rnacentral:rRNA from 1 species